GAUGGACCGCGGCGGCAAGGCUCAACACAUGCAAGUCGAGCGGUAACAGGAAGAAAGCUUGCUUUCUUAGAUGACGAGCGGCGGACGGGUGAGUAAUGCUUGGGAAACUGCCCAGUCGAGGGGGACAACCGUUGGAAACGACUGCUAAUACCGCAUACGCCCUAUGGGGGAAAGGAGGGGACCUUCGGGCCUUUCGCGAUUAGAUGAGUCUAGGUGGGAUUAGCUAGUAGGUGAGGUAAUGGCUCACCUAGGCGAUGAUCCCUAGCUGUUCUGAGAGGAUGAUCAGCCACACUGGGACUGAGACACGGCCCAGACUCCUACGGGAGGCAGCAGUGGGGAAUAUUGCACUAUGGGCGAAAGCCUGAUGCAGCCAUGCCGCGUGUGUGAAGAAGGCCUUCGGGCUGUAAAGCACUUUCAGCGAGGAGGAAAGGUUGGUAGUUAAUAACUGCUAGAUAUGACGUUACUCGCAGAAGAAGCACCGGCUAACUCCGUGCCAGCAGCCGCGGUAAUACGAGGGGUGCAAGCGUUAAUCGGAAUUACUGGGCGUAAAGCGUACGCAGGCGGCUUGUUAAGCGAGAUGUGAAAGCCCCGAGCUCAACCUGGGAACUGCAUUUCGAACUGGCAGGCUAGAGUUUUGUAGAGGGUGGUAGAAUUUCAGGUGUAGCGGUGAAAUGCGUAGAGAUCUGAAGGAAUACCGAUGGCGAAGGCAGCCACCUGGUUCAAUACUGACGCUCAUGUACGAAAGCGUGGGGAGCAAACAGGAUUAGAUACCCUGGUAGUCCACGCCGUAAACGAUGUCUACUAGCAGCUCGGGUCGUAAUGACUGGUUUUGCGCAGCUAACGCAUUAAGUACCCCACCUGGGGAGUACGAUCGCAAGGUUGAAACUCAAAGGAAUUGACGGGGGCCCGCACAAGCGGUGGAGCAUGUGGUUUAAUUCGAUGCAACGCGAAGAACCUUACCAUCCCUUGACAUCCAGAGAAUCACCUAGAGAUAGAUGAGUGCCUUCGGGAACUCUGAGACAGGUGCUGCAUGGCUGUCGUCAGCUCGUGUUGUGAAAUGUUGGGUUAAGUCCCGCAACGAGCGCAACCCUUAUCCUUACUUGCCAGCGGGUUAUGCCGGGAACUUUAGGGAGACUGCCGGUGAUAAACCGGAGGAAGGUGGGGACGACGUCAAGUCAUCAUGGCCCUUACGGGAUGGGCUACCACACGUGCUACAAUGGCAGAUACAAAGGGUUGCUAACCUGCGAGGGUAUGCGAAUCUCAUAAAGUCUGUCGUAGUCCGGAUCGGAGUCUACAACUCGACUCCGUGAAGUUGGAAUCGCUAGUAAUCGUGGAUCAGAAUGCCACGGUGAAUACGUUCCCGGGCCUUGUACACACCGCCCGUCACACCAUGGGAGUGGGCUGCACCAAAAGUCAUUAGCUUAACCUCGGGAGGGCGUACCGCG
rnacentral:rRNA from 1 species